UUUUUUUUAAAAUGAUAUUUAUUAAAGUUUCAAAGAAUACAAAAACAAAAAAUAAAAAUACAAGAAAAUACAAAAUACAGAAAAAAGAAUAAAGUUUUUAAGAUAUAACAAAAAAAAGAAAAAUAAAGAAAAACAUACAAGAUAAAAACAGUUAAAAACACGUUAACUUUCCAUAGCAUAUCUUCCUUACACUUAUUUCCCUGGACCUCCUCAUACCUCCCUUUUUUGUAUUCCAGUUCAGUUUGUUAGUUCAGCAAAUCCUUACCAUUAAGCUUUUACCCAUUUGUAAACCUUUUUUCGUAUCUCUUAAAGCAUUACAGCUGGAAACCACUUAGUUUCUAUCCAACAUCCUUCUAAGAUUCCUUAAUU